UACGUAGGGUGCAAGCGUUGUCCGGAAUUAUUGGGCGUAAAGGGCUCGUAGGCGGUUUGUCGCGUCGGGAGUGAAAACUCAGGGCUCAACCCUGAGCGUGCUUACGAUACGGGCAAACUAGAGGGUAUGGCAGGGGAGAACGGAAUUCCUGGUGUAGCGGUGGAAUGCGCAGAUAUCAGGAGGAACACCUGCGGUGUAGACGGCUUUCUGGACCAUUGCUGACGCUGAGACACGAAAGCGUGGGGUAGCAAACAGG
rnacentral:rRNA from 1 species